rnacentral:rRNA from 1 species
GACGAACCGAGCGAACGUUGUUCGGAAUCACUGGGCUUAAAGAGCUCGUAGGCGGUGUGUCGCGUCGGCCGUGAAAACCUGCAGCUUAACUGUGGGCUUGCGGUCGAUACGGGCAUCACUGGAGUUCGGCAGGGGAGACUGGAAUUCCUGGUGUAGCGGUGAAAUGCGCAGAUAUCAGGAGGAACACCGGUGGCGAAGGCGGGUCUCUGGGCCGAUACUGACGCUGAGGAGCGAAAGCGUGGGGAGCGAACAGG